UACCAGCACCCCGAGUGGUCGGGACGAUUAUUGGGCCUAAAGCAUCCGUAGCCGGUUCUGCAAGUCCCCCGUUAAAUCCGGCUGCUCAACAGAUGGGCCGCGGAGGAUACUCCAGAGCUAGGAGGCAGGAGAGGCAAGCGGUACUCAGUGGGUAGGGGUAAAAUCCGUUGAUCCAUUGAAGACCACCAGUGGCGAAGGCGGCUUGCCAGAAUGCGCUCGACGGUGAGGGAUGAAAGCUGGGGGAGCAAACCGG
rnacentral:rRNA from 1 species